rnacentral:rRNA from 1 species
GACGAACGCUGGCGGCGUGCUUAACACAUGCAAGUCGAACGGAAAGGCCCUGCUUUUGUGGGGUGCUCGAGUGGCGAACGGGUGAGUAACACGUGAGUAACCUGCCCUUGACUUUGGGAUAACUUCAGGAAACUGGGGCUAAUACCGGAUAGGAGCUCCUGCUGCAUGGUGGGGGUUGGAAAGUUUCGGCGGUUGGGGAUGGACUCGCGGCUUAUCAGCUUGUUGGUGGGGUAGUGGCUUACCAAGGCUUUGACGGGUAGCCGGCCUGAGAGGGUGACCGGCCACGUUGGGACUGAGAUACGGCCCAGACUCCUACGGGAGGCAGCAGUGGGGAAUAUUGCACAAUGGGCGGAAGCCUGAUGCAGCAACGCCGCGUGCGGGAUGACGGCCUUCGGGUUGUAAACCGCUUUCGCCUGUGACGAAGCGUGAGUGACGGUAAUGGGUAAAGAAGCACCGGCUAACUACGUGCCAGCAGCCGCGGUGAUACGUAGGGUGCGAGCGUUGUCCGGAUUUAUUGGGCGUAAAGGGCUCGUAGGUGGUUGAUCGCGUCGGAAGUGUAAUCUUGGGGCUUAACCCUGAGCGUGCUUUCGAUACGGGUUGACUUGAGGAAGGUAGGGGAGAAUGGAAUUCCUGGUGGGGCGGUGGAAUGCGCAGAUAUCAGGAGGAACACCAGUGGCGAAGGCGGUUCUCUGGGCCUUUCCUGACGCUGAGGAGCGAAAGCGUGGGGAGCGAACAGGCUUAGAUACCCUGGUAGUCCACGCUGUAAACGGUGGGUACUAGGUGUGGGGUCCAUUCCACGGGUUCCGUGCCGUAGCUAACGCUUUAAGUACCCCGCCUGGGGAGUACGGCCGCAAGGCUAAAACUCAAAGGAAUUGACGGGGCCCCGCACAAGCGGCGGAGCAUGCGGAUUAAUUCGAUGCAACGCGUAGAACCUUACCUGGGUUUGACAUGGAUCGGGAGUGCUCAGAGAUGGGUGUGCCUCUUUUGGGGUCGGUUCACAGGUGGUGCAUGGCUGUCGUCAGCUCGUGUCGUGAGAUGUUGGGUUAAGUCCCGCAACGAGCGCAACCCUUGUUCACUGUUGCCAGCACGUUAUGGUGGGGACUCAGUGGAGACCGCCGGGGUCAACUCGGAGGAAGGUGGGGAUGACGUCAAGUCAUCAUGCCCCUUAUGUCCAGGGCUUCACGCAUGCUACAAUGGCUGGUACAGAGAGUGGCGAGCCUGUGAGGGUGAGCGAAUCUCGGAAAGCCGGUCUCAGUUCGGAUUGGGGUCUGCAACUCGACCUCAUGAAGUCGGAGUCGCUAGUAAUCGCAGAUCAGCAACGCUGCGGUGAAUACGUUCCCGGG